GUCCACGCCGUAAACGAUGGACACUAGUUGUUGGAAUUAUUCAGUGACUAAGCGAAAGUGAUAAGUGUCCCACCUGGGGAGUACGAUCGCAAGAUUGAAACUCAAAGGAAUUGACGGGGGCCCGCACAAGCGGUGGAGCAUGUGGUUUAAUUCGAUGAUACGCGAGGAACCUUACCAGGGCUUAAAUGUAGAGUGCAUGAUCUAGAGAUAGACUUUCUUCGGACUCUCUACAAGGUGCUGCAUGGUU
rnacentral:rRNA from 1 species